UACGGAGGGUGCAAGCGUUAUCCGGAUUUAUUGGGUUUAAAGGGUGCGUAGGCGGGCCUGUAAGUCAGUGGUGAAAGCCUUCAGCUUAACUGGAGAACUGCCAUUGAUACUGCAGGCCUUGAAUUCGGUUGAAGUGGGCGGAAUGUGUGGUGUAGCGGUGAAAUGCAUAGAUAUCACACAGAACACCGAUUGCGAAGGCAGCUCACUAAGCCGACAUUGACGCUGAGGCACGAAAGCGUGGGGAGCGAACAGGAUUAGAUACCCUGGUAGUCCACGCUGUAAACGAUGAUAACUCGCUGUUGGCGAUAUACUGUCAGCGGCCUAGCGAAAGCGUUAAGUUAUCCACCUGGGGAGUACGAUCGCAAGGUUGAA
rnacentral:rRNA from 1 species